CUUCCGUAGGGGAACCUGCGGAAGGAUCAUUAUCGAGUUUUGACUGGGUUGUAGCUGGCCUUCCGAGGCAUGUGCACGCCCUGCUCAUCCACUCUACACCUGUGCACUUACUGUGGGUUUCAGACGGCGUAGCGAGCCUUUACGGGUUCGUGAAAGCGUCUGUGCCUGCGUUUAUUACAAACUCUUACAAGUAAAUGAAUGUGUAUUGCGAUAUAACGCAUCUAUAUACAACUUUCAGCAACGGAUCUCUUGGCUCUCGCAUCGAUGAAGAACGCAGCGAAAUGCGAUAAGUAAUGUGAAUUGCAGAAUUCAGUGAAUCAUCGAAUCUUUGAACGCACCUUGCGCUCCUUGGUAUUCCGAGGAGCAUGCCUGUUUGAGUGUCAUGAAAUCUUCAACCUAUAAACCUUUGCGGGUUUGUAGGCUUGGACUUGGAGGCUUGUCGGCCUAACGGUCGGCUCCUCUUAAAUGCAUUAGCUUGAUUCCUUGCGGAUCGGCUCUCGGUGUGAUAAUUGUCUACGCCGCGACCGUGAAGCGUUUGGCGAGCUUCUAAUCGUCUCUUAUGAGACAACACAUUGACCUCUGACCUCAAAUCAGGUAGGACUACCCGCUGAACUUAAGCAUAUCAAUAAGCGGAGAGAAAA
rnacentral:rRNA from 1 species